GAUGAACGCUAGCGACAGGCUUAACACAUGCAAGUCGAGGGGCAGCAGGGGAGUAGCAAUACUCCCGCUGGCGACCGGCGCACGGGUGAGUAACACGUAUGCAACCUGCCCUUGUCAGGGGGAUAAGCGGAAGAAAUUCCGUCUAAUACCGCAUAACGCUGCGGGGAGACAUCUCCCUGCAGCCAAAGAUUUAUCGGACAAGGAUGGGCAUGCGGCGCAUUAGCUGGUUGGCGGGGUAACGGCCCACCAAGGCGACGAUGCGUAGGGGUUCUGAGAGGAAGGUCCCCCACACUGGUACUGAGACACGGACCAGACUCCUACGGGAGGCAGCAGUGAGGAAUAUUGGUCAAUGGCCGGGAGGCUGAACCAGCCAAGUCGCGUGAGGGAAGACGGUCCUAUGGAUUGUAAACCUCUUUUGUCAGGGAGCAAAAACUGCCACGCGUGGCAGGAUGAGAGUACCUGAAGAAAAAGCAUCGGCUAACUCCGUGCCAGCAGCCGCGGUAAUACGGAGGAUGCGAGCGUUAUCCGGAUUUAUUGGGUUUAAAGGGUGCGUAGGCGGACAGUUAAGUCAGCGGUAAAAUUGAGAGGCUCAACCUCUUCCCGCCGUUGAAACUGAUUGUCUUGAGUGGGCGAGAAGUAUGCGGAAUGCGUGGUGUAGCGGUGAAAUGCAUAGAUAUCACGCAGAACUCCGAUUGCGAAGGCAGCAUACCGGCGCCCAACUGACGCUGAAGCACGAAAGCGUGGGUAUCGAACAGGAUUAGAUACCCUGGUAGUCCACGCAGUAAACGAUGAAUACUAAUUGUUCGGGUCAAAUGAGAUCUGAGUGAUACAGCGAAAGCGUUAAGUAUUCCACCUGGGGAGUACGCCGGCAACGGUGAAACUCAAAGGAAUUGACGGGGGCCCGCACAAGCGGAGGAACAUGUGGUUUAAUUCGAUGAUACGCGAGGAACCUUACCCGGGCUCAAACGACACAGGAAUGAUCUGAGAAAUCAGACAGUCCUUCGGGACCUGUGUCGAGGUGCUGCAUGGUUGUCGUCAGCUCGUGCCGUGAGGUGUCGGCUUAAGUGCCAUAACGAGCGCAACCCCCAUCGACAGUUGCCAGCAGGUGAAGCUGGGCACUCUGUCGAGACUGCCGGCGCAAGCUGUGAGGAAGGCGGGGAUGACGUCAAAUCAGCACGGCCCUUACGUCCGGGGCGACACACGUGUUACAAUGGCAGGUACAGCGGGAAGCCACCUGGCGACAGGGAGUGAAACCCGAAAGCCUGUCUCAGUUCGGAUUGGAGUCUGCAACUCGACUCCAUGAAGCUGGAUUCGCUAGUAAUCGCGCAUCAGCCACGGCGCGGUGAAUACGUUCCCGGGCCU
rnacentral:rRNA from 1 species